rnacentral:lncRNA from 1 species
GAAAAACAAACAAAAAUCCCUAACAAACACCACCACCACCACCUAUAUCUCUUCCUCCCCAUCUGCCUAGUGUCAGAGCUGGACUGCUCAUUCCUCCUCCCACUUCCCCACCCAGGACACGGUGCCACCUUCCCCAUGGUUCUGAGAGGUCAGAGAUCUGUCUGUCCCAUUCCUCCCCCAUCCGAAAUGCUGAAGCUGCCAAGUAGGCUGUUCCCAUAGCCAUGCAUCUAAUGGAUAGUUCAAGGUAUGACCCUGGGAUGUUUUUCCUUUUCUUUAACUGAGGAAACUAUUCAGGGGAGAUCGCAGUUCCUAGCAGGCUACAGAGUUUGUUCCAUGCUGCUUCAGCUGAGUAAGGUCAUUCUCAGAAGAGAUCUUUGGCAGGCUCUGCCUGGGACAAAGACAGCAGAGCCAUCAUUCCAGGGUCAUCAUGGAAGAAUGUGACUGAAAACCUUAAACAUGUAAGAAAAAACACCUAGAAUGACUUUAAUAUAUCAGCUGAAUAUGCAUGGUUGGCUGGCCACUGUGGAAGAAUGUAACAAAACACUUAUAACACAUUUAAUUAUUUCUAAACAGCCGACACGUGACUGAGCACUAGGAGGUACAAAGCAAGAGGUACAAACUUACACAACAGCUUGGUUUACAACGCCGUAACUGGGUUAGCUCUGUUACGCCAUCAGGAUAAGCAGAUUUCAUGAGACACAGUGGAAAUGGGCACACUCCCUUGUCAAUGCAGGUCAUCUGCUUUGGGGCAAAGACAGACAAGCAAAGCCACGGCACCUCUGACUCGUCACCCUCGCUGGACGUGCGUAGGAGACAUCCACAUGGGGACACCAGCACAAGGGCAGCAGCUCCACCCAGCCUUUGGGAAGGGUUCUCGUUCCCAGCAGCUCAGCACCUGGGAACUGUGGCAAGAUUUUGCUCUGGGAAGAAAGUUGAGCAUCUGGCAGUUCCUGUUUUGCAAUAACAAUAACAAUGACAACAACAACAACAACAACAAAAACACAGACAAAACCCAUGGAAAAUACACGCAAAGUGUAUCUAACAUCUUUUACGGCUGAGGAUAAACAAAGAGAUUUUUUUUCCAUUCAUCUCUUCAAGCAAACAUAUCUGAAUAAUAUCCCUGUAGAAGACAUCAAAGUUGAGUAUGUUAAAUAUAGGAUUUCCCAACCCUAUUCUCAGUGGAACAUAAGAGGAUGAUGCAUUGAGUAAAAAAUUUUGUUACCUUAUUUUUCAUCUGUGGAUUUGGUUUGCUUUCCUAGCUGUUUUUGCUAUUUAUUGCCUGUGCGUUAUAAUGAAAGCUGGUUUUCAGCUACAAUGAAUAGGACUUUCUGCUGCUCACCCGGGGCUUUUCAACCUGGUAUCAUAAAGUUAAUUAAAUAAUAGUAAUUUUCUAAUAUUUUGGGUCAGUGAUCUGAAGAUUUGCUUUUAGGUAGAAUAAACUUACAGAGGAGCAGUGCA